rnacentral:tRNA from 1 species
GGAGAGGUGGGUGAGUGGCUGAAACCGCUGCUUUGCUAAAGCAGUGUACCCUUUACGGGGUACCGGGGGUUCGAAUCCCCCCCUCUCCGCCG